UUGAUGAAGUAAUGCCGAGUACGUAACGAAGUAUGUACCGGUGUCAUAUGGUCAUCGUAAAAUUUUUGAUAUCUUUGUACGUUGACAGUUCUAUUGCGGAAUUGUAGCGAAUGUUUUGGAAAAUUAUGUAACCGCAGUACACCGCAUUUUAAAGCGGCUCUGAAAGGUGGGGUGUCUUACUGAGCCACAACAAUAAAAUUCUUGUAACAGCAACAAAGGAUCUCCAUACCUGAUCUGAGCAAAUGGGGGCGUGGUUAUCAACAUCAAUUUUGAUGGGUGGUUGGGUGUCAACAUCCAUUACUAUGGGUGGUUGGUACCCCAGUUGGUAUUCUGCACCAUCAUCUCAAGAAGAGAAUGAGAAAAACAGGAAAACUUUGGUCCAUACACUUGACUGUCCAUUAUGUUUAGGUAACCGGAAAUUUGGAGUAAUCAGAUGCAAGUAUGGUCAAAAUAAAUGUAAGACGUGCAGACCUAAUGUUGGUUUGUGUCCAUACUGGAGAGAAUCUGUUCGUCAAAGGGUUAAAUGUAAAAACAUUGAAUUUACGGCAAAUGACAGGCUUCAGGUACGUAAACCAUCCACUGUUGGUCGUAAAGUGCCACAAGGAGAGAGAUUGGAUCACGAAAAGAAUCGUCACUUCAGUAUUUACAAAUGUGGUUUGGCGGUGUGAAGUUAAAUGUGGUAUAGUAAAAUAAAAAAUUUGUGAAAGGGUACCUGCACAUGUAAUGUGUGGUAUUAUUUUGACAGAAGCUCAAAAGGUGCACAGUGCAUUUUUUUUUUUAUAGCUGUGAUGUACUUGGAAUUUGAUAUAAUUCAUGAAUGUUCCAAGAUUUCCAUUAUGUUGAUAAAAUGAGCCAUAUUCCCAACAGUUUAAUAUUAAAUAUUUUGUGUUAUCAGUUUUCACACCAUUAUUGGAAGUAUUAAGAGCAGCAUCAUAUGAACGUUAUGCAUGUAUUCAGCAACCCAUAGUUUACAUAUUUCUGUUCAUACUGAUUUCUGAUACAAAUUUCAAUUCUAGAGAUAUCAAAAUUAAUUAUUAAUCCUGUAAAUAUUUUUGCAAUUUCGGAAUGCAUGGGGCCCUGAAAAUUGUCUUACCAAUAUAAGAAAUAUCUUUCUGAUUCUAAGCACAUGGUUUAUAAGAAAUGAAACGUGUCUAGCUGGCAAAGUGCAGAGAUAUUUAUUUUAGUUCGUAAUGUACUGUCAAAAGGAAGUUCUGUAUCACAAACAGAACAACAUUUUAAAGUAAUGUGACAUUUUA